rnacentral:rRNA from 1 species
GUGGUAAUGCCGGAUGCUCCGACUCCUCGCAUGGGGUGUCGGGAAAGAUUUCAUCGGUAUGGGAUGGGGUCGCGUCCUAUCAGGUAGUCGGCGGGGUAACGGCCCACCGAGCCUACGACGGGUAGCCGGCCUGAGAGGGCGACCGGCCACAUUGGGACUGAGAUACGGCCCAGACUCCUACGGGAGGCAGCAGUGGGGAAUAUUGCACAAUGGGCGCAAGCCUGAUGCAGCGACGCCGCGUGCGGGAUGACGGCCUUCGGGUUGUAAACCGCUUUUGAUCGGGAGCAAGCCUUCGGGUGAGUGUACCUUUCGAAUAAGCACCGGCUAACUACGUGCCAGCAGCCGCGGUAAUACGUAGGGUGCAAGCGUUAUCCGGAAUUAUUGGGCGUAAAGGGCUCGUAGGCGGUUCGUCGCGUCCGGUGUGAAAGUCCAUCGCUUAACGGUGGAUCUGCGCCGGGUACGGGCGGGCUGGAGUGCGGUAGGGGAGACUGGAAUUCCCGGUGUAACGGUGGAAUGU